rnacentral:rRNA from 1 species
GGGGAGAGGAACUUGUUCCUCGAGUCGUUGAUUUCACACUGCCGAGAAAAGCCUCUAGCUAGAAUAACGGUGCCCGUACCGCAAACCGACACAGGUAGUCAAGAUGAGAAUUCUAAGGUGAGCGAGCGAACUCUCGUUAAGGAACUCGGCAAAAUGACCCCGUAACUUCGGGAGAAGGGGUGCUCUUUGAGGUUCACGCUUCGAAGAGCCGCAGUGAAUAGGCCCAAGCGACUGUUUAUCAAAAACACAGGUCUCUGCUAAACCGUAAGGUGACGUAUAGGGGCUGACGCCUGCCCGGUGCUGGAAGGUUAAGAGGAGUGGUUAGCGCAAGCGAAGCUACGAAUCGAAGCCCCAGUAAACGGCGGCCGUAACUAUAACGGUCCUAAGGUAGCGAAAUUCCUUGUCGGGUAAGUUCCGACCCGCACGAAAGGCGUAACGAUUUGGGCACUGUCUCAACGAGAGACUCGGUGAAAUCAUAGUACCGGUGAAGAUGCCGGUUACCCGCGACAGGACGGAAAGACCCCGUGGAGCUUUACUGUAGCCUGAUAUUGAAAUUCGGUACAGUUUGUACAGGAUAGGUAGGAGCCUUAGAAGCGUGAGCGCUAGCUUACGUGGAGGCAUUGGUGGGAUACUACCCUAAUUGUAUUGGAUUUCUAACCCGCAGCACUUAUCGUGCUGGGAGACAGUGUCAGGCGGGCAGUUUGACUGGGGCGGUCGCCUCCUAAAGAGUAACGGAGGCGCUCAAAGGUUCCCUCAGAAUGGUUGGAAAUCAUUCAUAGAGUGUAAAGGCAUAAGGGAGCUUGACUGCGAGACCUACAAGUCGAGCAGGGUCGAAAGACGGACUUAGUGAUCCGGUGGUUCCGCAUGGAAGGGCCAUCGCUCAACGGAUAAAAGCUACCCCGGGGAUAACAGGCUUAUCUCCCCCAAGAGUUCACAUCGACGGGGAGGUUUGGCACCUCGAUGUCGGCUCAUCGCAUCCUGGGGCUGUAGUCGGUCCCAAGGGUUGGGCUGUUCGCCCAUUAAAGCGGUACGCGAGCUGGGUUCAGAACGUCGUGAGACAGUUCGGUCCCUAUCCGUCGUGGGCGUAGGAAAUUUGAGAGGAGCUGUCCUUAGUACGAGAGGACCGGGAUGGACAUACCUCUGGUGUACCAGUUGUCGUGCCAACGGCAUAGCUGGGUAGCUAUGUAUGGACGGGAUAAGUGCUGAAAGCAUCUAAGCAUGAAGCCCCCCU